rnacentral:lncRNA from 1 species
CGUCGUCGUCGAGGUGGGAUCGAAUUUGGGAUCCUGGGAAAUCAAGUGCUUGAGGUGGGCGAUGAUGGCAUGGUUCUCGUUGCGUUCCGGAUCGUCAGCUUGGGCCGGGGGUGGUGACACUUUCGGAGUAGAGAGGAGGCCUGCCACGCGCCGCCGAUGGCCCGUCGACGCAUCCGACUGGGGGCGCCGGAGGCGGGAGUAGGUCUGGCGGCGGGACCCGGCGCUCUCAUUGAAUUGGGAUCGGUCGAUUUUGGGGACCACCAGGUCGUCAGUGCCGCAGCGGUGCAAGGACAAGAGAGAGAGGGCGUGGAGCUCCGACUGAGAGAGGGUGCUUAUGUCUAUAUGGGUUAAAGAGCCUAAGGGAAGCCUUGUGCUCGUCUCAGUAGCGCCAUGGUGGCCAUAGCCGCCUUUGUGGCAGAUCACUCGGUCCGUCAGUGUAACCAAAUGUUGGGACGGGUUUGGGUUUGGGUUUGGGUUUGGGAAAUGAGGUUUCAGUUUUUGAGAAACAUCACUCCAGUCGUUCACCUGGCAUGGAGAAGCAGAGAACCGGCACACCGC